rnacentral:lncRNA from 1 species
AUGAGAGAAAAUAAAAUAUUAAAUCCGUGAGAAAAAUCCAAGAAGAUGAUAAGAAUCCGGAUCGUGAUAGUUAAGAAACUACUUUGAUUAGGGCUCUUAAUCUUUUAACCAAAUAGAUCCAUCGAUAAAGAACUAUGUCUUUACCAAUAUCGGAUUAAAAAAAAAUCAAAGAUCAACUGUUAAGAAAUGAAGGUCCUUGACAGCAUAUGAUCUGUAGAAUAAGAAAUCACUC